UGCCUCCUGUUCUUACUACAGGCAGUGUCCUUUCGCUGCCUGCGUAGGAAAAGAGGAGGAGGAAACCUGUCCCAUAAACACCUCAGCCCAGGCCUGUGCCUUGUCUGUAUUGUGAAUGGGGAGACAUAG
rnacentral:snoRNA from 1 species